GAAGCUCACCAGACAGUCGCUGUGUACUUGUUACAUAGAGGAAGGUCCGGACUCCACAGGGCAGGGUAGUGGGUAACGCCCAUCCACCGCGAGGUGAGGAUUAGAGCAACAGAGACGAGUCGUUCGCAGUGUUUCGCGAGCGGGUGAAACGGGCAAUCUCUACUCGGAGCAAACCCAAAUAGGCAGGCGCGAAGCAUGCAGUGCGGUGCUUUGCCGGUGGUCCGCCGGAUGCCUGCGGGUAGGGUGCUAGAGGCGUACGGUAACGUGCGUUCGAGAUGAAUGACUGUCAUACCGCAGGGCGCAAGUUCUGCGGCGUAACAGAAUCCGGCCUAUCGGUGAGCUUCCACU
rnacentral:RNase_P_RNA from 2 species